UACGUAGGGGGCAAGCGUUGUCCGGAAUCAUUGGGCGUAAAGAGCGUGUAGGCGGCCCGAUAAGUCCGCUGUGAAAGCCCAGGGCUCAACCUUGGAACUGCCUUUGAAACUAGGUAGCUAGAAUUCUGGAGAGGUCAGUGGAAUUCCGAGUGUAGAGGUGAAAUUCGUAGAUAUUCGGAAGAACACCAGUGGCGAAGGCGACUGACUGGACAGAUAUUGACGCUGAGGUGCGAAAGCGUGGGGAGCAAACAGG
rnacentral:rRNA from 1 species